UUUUGAUUUGGUUUUCUUUUUUGUUUUUGUUUUUAAAUAAAAAGACUUUAAAAACAAAAACUAACCCCUUUCAUUUUUGGUGUAUGUGUAUGUCUAUCUAAGAGGAUGUCAGAAGGUCAUAUAGACAUGCUGAUGUCUUGCUAAAACUAGGAAGUGCCUGCCCCACCACUCUGGACAGAAACAUCUGUGGUACAAGCCUGUAUACUUACUAGCUUUCUUAAUGUCAAAAAGCAACACUUGCUCGAUGAAGUUAAAUUUUAAAAGUACUUUACAUGUGAUUGCAGGCGUGUACAUAUACCAUGGCAUACUUCUGACCUGUGGAGGUUACAGGGCAGCUUGGAGGAGUCUCUUGUUUUUGUAACCAUGUGGAGUUCCAUGCUUGUAAAGGUCAGAGGGUAGUUUUUGGACACUUUUUUAUGUAUACAAGUGCUCUGUCAUAUUUGCAUGCCAGAAAGAGGGCAUUGAUCCCAUUGCAGAUGGCUGUGAGCCACCACGUGGUUGCUGGGAAUUGAACUGAGGACCUUCGGAAGAGCCAGUGCUCUUAACCAGUGAGCCAUCUAUACAGUCCUCCAACCCCUAUCCCCAAAGCAAACUUUAAUGGAUGUGUAAGUAUUUUAUGUGGUAAGGCUAAAGGACCUCCCCAAAAGUAAACAGACUUAGAGCAGUUCCUGGGAACAGCCUGGGCAUCUCUGACCUCUUGGCCCCAAUAACCAAGACCAACCUCCCAUGCUGAAGCCUCCAGAUGGCCUGUGGCUGGCAUUUGUCCCAACUCUAGGUUAACCAUGUGACCAGAGAAGUACUGCCUGCUGCCAGAAAUCCUCACUAUCUCAGGAGGAGUGGAUUCUUACUCAUCCUGUUGCCCUAAGCUGACGCCCUGCUCUCUGCUCUAGAAACCGAUGGAACACUGGUUACGUUUCCUGAAGAUGAGCUAUUUGGGUGUUAGCAGAGAAGAGGGGAUUGUCAGCUUUGCCUCUGUUCUCAUCCUUGCCACCCCUGUUUAGGACCUCAAUCAGCACAGCCUCUAGUCCAGAGCUUCUUAACCGGGGGUUGUAGUCCCUUUGGGGUUGCCUAAGACCACUAAAAGAAUAUUUACAUUAUGACUCAUAACAAUACUAAAGUCACUAUUUUCAAGUAGCAACAAAAAAAACAGAUUUAAGGUUAGGCACCACCACAACAUGAGGACUGUAUUAAAGGGGCGCAACAUUUGUAAGGUUGAGAACCAUGGCUUCAGUCCAAAUCAGGAGCAAGAAUAUUUUAAUGACUGACCGACCCAGGUGCUGUUUCAUACUUAAAACUCAUAAUGCAGGGGGCUAGGAGUGGUGCUUGCAUGCCUUUAAUCUCUUGAGUUCAAGGCCCACCUGGUCUACAGAGUGAUUCAAGGACAGCUAGAGCUUCACAGAAACCCUAUCUUUAACGAGAAAUACAAAUUUUAAAUUUACUUAAGGUUUUAUUUUUUUAUUUGGAGAGUUCUCUUUAUGUAGCCUUGGCUAUUCUAGAACCUUCAUAUAGACCAGGCUGUCCUCAAACUCAGAGAUCCACCUUCCUCUACUUUGCCAAGUGCUGGAAUUAAGAGUGUGAACCAUUAUAACCGGCUAAUUUGUUGUAUAUACAUUGUCUGUGUAUAUGUCUGUGUACCAUGUGGAUGUUUGGUGUCCAUAGAGGCCAAAGAGGAAUCAGACCCCUGGAACUGGAGUUACAAAUGUAAGCCACUACAUGCAUACUAGAAAUUAAAACCAGGUCUUCAGGAAGAG
rnacentral:lncRNA from 1 species